rnacentral:rRNA from 1 species
AUGUGGGACAUGUCGGACUCAGAAGCCGAAGACCCAAACAAGAGACGGAACUACAUGGUGACAAGAUACAUAGCAGAAGGGGUGUAUUACUGCCAGUGCUGCAAGUUUGAAAGAGAUGGUGUGAUUUGUUGCCAUAUUCUAACGGUAAUGGACAUGAAUGGCAUGAAACAGGUGCCACCAAGUCGUUCAUAUCUGAAAAAGAGGAGAAACUUUUGCAAAAAGAUGUAA